AUUGAACGCUGGCGGAAGGCCUAACACAUGCAAGUCGAGCGAGCGGCGGACGGGUGAGUAAUGUAUGGGGACUGCCCGAUAGAGGGGGAUAACUACUGGAAAAGGUUGCUAAUACCGCAUACUAUUCGAUAACCCAUAUGGGAUUAGCUAGUAGGUGAGGUAAUGGCUCACCUAGGCGACGAGCCCUAGCUUGUCUGAGAGGAUGAUCAGCCACACUGUGACUGAGACACGGCCCAGACUCAUACGGAGGCAGCAGGGGGGAAUAGUGCACAAUGGGCGAAAGCCUGAUGCAGCGACGCCGCGUGGGGGAGGAAGGCUUUCGGGUUGUAAACCUCUUUCGCUAGCGAACGGGUAGGUGGAGAAGAAGCGCCGGCUAACUACGUGCCAGCCGCCGCGGUAAUUC
rnacentral:rRNA from 1 species